rnacentral:rRNA from 1 species
CCGAUGGCGAAGGCAGAUCUCUGGGCCGUAACUGACGCUGAGGAGCGAAAGCAUGGGGAGCGAACAGGAUUAGAUACCCUGGUAGUCCAUGCCGUAAACGUUGGGCGCUAGAUGUAGGGACCUUUCCACGGUUUGUGUGUCGUAGCUAACGCAUUAAGCGCCCCGCCUGGGGAGUACGGCCGCAAGGCUAAAACUCAAAGGAAUUGACGGGGGCCCGCACAAGCGGCGGAGCAUGCGGAUUAAUUCGAUGCAACGCGAAGAACCUUACCAAGGCUUGACAUACACCGGAAACGGCCAGAGAUGGUCGCCCCCUUGUGGUCGGUGUACAGGUGGUGCAUGGUUGUCGUCAGCUCGUGUCGUGAGAUGUUGGGUUAAGUCCCGCAACGAGCGCAACCCUCGUUCUAUGUUGCCAGCGGGUUAUGCCGGGGACUCAUAGGAGACUGCCGGGGUCAACUCGGAGGAAGGUGGGGAUGACGUCAAAUCAUCAUGCCCCUUAUGUCUUGGGCUUCACGCAUGCUACAAUGGCCGGUACAAAGGGCUGCGAUACCGUAAGGUGGAGCGAAUCCCAAAAAGCCGGUCUCAGUUCGGAUUGAGGUCUGCAACUCGACCUCAUGAAGUCGGAGUCGCUAGUAAUCGCAGAUCAGCAACGCUGCGGUGAAUACGUUCCCGGGCCUUGUACACACCGCCCGUCAAGUCAUGAAAGUCGGUAACACCCGAAGCCGGUGGCCUAACCCU